rnacentral:rRNA from 1 species
UACGAAGGGGGCUAGCGUUGUUCGGAAUUACUGGGCGUAAAGCGUGCGCAGGCGGCUUCUCAAGUCAGGGGUGAAAGCCCAGAGCUCAACUCUGGAAUUGCCUUUGAGACUGAGUGGCUUGAGUACGAGAGAGGUGAGUGGAAUUCCCAGUGUAGAGGUGAAAUUCGUAGAUAUUGGGAAGAAACACCGGUGGCGAAGGCGGCUCACUGGCUCGUAACUGACGCUCAUGCACGACAGCGUGGGGAUCAAACAGG